GGUUCCUUCGGGGACUUAGUAAAGUGGCGAACGGGUGAGUAACGCGUGGAUGAUCUGCCCUCAAGUGGGGGAUAACUCGGGGAAACCCGGGCUAAUACCGCAUAAGCCCUACGGGGGAAAAGUAUUUAUAUUGCUUGAGGAGGAGUCCGCGUCCGAUUAGCUGGUUGGUGAGGUAAGAGCUCACCAAGGCGACGAUUGGUAGCCGGUCUGAGAGGACGGACGGCCACACUGGAACUGAGACACGGUCCAGACUCCUACGGGAGGCAGCAGUGGGGAAUUUUGGGCAAUGGGGGAAACCCUGACCCAGCAACGCCGCGUGGAGGAAGAAGGUUUUCGGAUCGUAAACUCCUGUCCCGAGGGACGAAGCAAGUGACGGUACCUCGGGAGGAAGCCCCGGCUAACUCCGUGCCAGCAGCCGCGGUAAUACGGGGGGGGCAAGCGUUGUUCGGAAUUACUGGGCGUAAAGGGCGCGCAGGCGGUUUCGUCAGUCAUGGGUGAAAGCCCCGGGCUCAACCCGGGAAUGGCCUGUGAAACCACGGAACUGGAGUGCUGGAGAGGGAAGCGGAAUUCCCAGUGUAGCGGUGAAAUGCGUAGAUAUUGGGAGGAACAUCGGUGGCGAAGGCGGCUUCCUGGGCAGACACUGACGCUGAGGCGCGAAAGCCAGGGGAGCGAACGGGAUUAGAUACCCCGGUAGUCCACGCCGUAAACGAUGAGUGCUAGCCGUCGGGUAGCUUGCUAUUCGGUGGCGCAGCUAACGCAUUAAGCACUCCGCCUGGGGAGUACGGCCGCAAGGUUAAAACU
rnacentral:rRNA from 1 species